UCAGUCGACUCCUACGGGGAGGCAGCAGUGGGGAAUAUUGCACAAUGGGGGAAACCCUGAUGCAGCCAUGCCGCGUGUGUGAAGAAGGCCUUCGGGUGUAAAGCACUUUCAGUAGGGAGGAAGGUAGUGUAGUUAACACCUGCACUAUUUGACGUUACCUACAGAAGAAGCACCGGCUAACUCCGUGCCAGCAGCCGCGGUAAUACGGAGGGUGCGAGCGUUAAUCGGAAUUACUGGGCGUAAAGCGCAUGCAGGCGGCCUGUUAAGUCAGAUGUGAAAGACCCGGGGCUUAACCUCGGAAUUGCAUUUGAAACUGGCAGGCUAGAGUCUUGUAGAGGGGGGUAGGAAUUUCAGGUGUAGCGGUGAAAUGCGUAGAGAUCUGAAGGAAUACCAGUGGCGAAGGCGGCCCCCUGGACAAAGACUGACGCUCAGAUGCGAAAGCGUGGGGAGCAAACAGGAUUAGAUACCCUGGUAG
rnacentral:rRNA from 1 species